CGUGGGAAUGUACCUAGUGGUUUGGAACAACUCAUGGAAACGUGAGCUAAUACCGGAUAAGCCCGUAAGGGGAAAGAUUUAUCGCCAUUAGAUCAGCCCGCGUAAGAUUAGCUAGUUGGUAGGGUAAUGGCCUACCAAGGCGACGAUCUUUAGCUGUUCUGAGAGGAAGAUCAGCCACACUGGGACUGAGACACGGCCCAGACUCCUACGGGAGGCAGCAGUUGGGAAUCUUGGACAAUGGGCGCAAGCCUGAUCCAGCCAUGCCGCGUGAGUGAUGAAGGCCUUAGGGUUGUAAAGCUCUUUUACCCGGGAAGAUAAUGACUGUACCGGGAGAAUAAGCUCCGGCUAACUUCGUGCCAGCAGCCGCGGUAAUACGAAGGGGGCUAGCGUUGUUCGGAAUUACUGGGCGUAAAGCGCGCGCAGGCGGCUAUUCAAGUCGAGGGUGAAAGCCCAGAGCUCAACUCUGGAACUGCCUUCGAAACUGGAUAGCUUGAGUACGGGAGAGGUGAGUGGAAUUCCCAGUGUAGAGGUGAAAUUCGUAGAUAUUGGGAAGAACACCAGUGGCGAAGGCGGCUCACUGGCCCGUUACUGACGCUCAGGCGCGAUAGCGUGGGGAUCAAACAGGAUUAGAUACCCUGGUAGUCCACGCCGUAAACUAUGAAUGCUAGCCGUUGGGCAGCUCGCUGUUCAGUGGCGCAGCUAACGCAUUAAGCAUCCGCC
rnacentral:rRNA from 1 species